rnacentral:rRNA from 1 species
UACGUAGGGGGCAAGCGUUGUCCGGAUUUAUUGGGCGUAAAGAGCGUGUAGGCGGCCAGAUAGGUCAGCUGUGAAAACUCGAGGCUCAACCUCGAGAUGUCGGCUGAAACCAUCUGGCUAGAGUCCGGAAGAGGAGAAUGGAAUUCCCGGUGUAGCGGUGAAAUGCGCAGAUAUCGGGAAGAACACCCGUGGCGAAGGCGGUUCUCUGGGACGGUACUGACGCUGAGACGCGAAAGCGUGGGGAGCGAACGGG